GACGAACGCUGGCGGCGUGCCUAAUACAUGCAAGUCGAACGCAGUGGGGACGGGUGAGUAACACGUGGGUAACCUCCCAUCAGAGGGGAUAACACUUGGAAACAGUUGCUAAACCGAUAAUUAUUUCUUGACCCGCGUUGCAUUAGCUAGUUGGUGAGGUAACGGCUCUCCAAGGCCACGAUGCAUAGCCUGCCUGAGCGGGUGAUCGGCCACACUGGGACUGAGACACGGCCCAGACUCCUACGGGAGGCAGCAGUAGGGAAUCUUCGGCAAUGGACGAAAGUCUGACCGAGAAACGCCGCGUGAGUGAAGAAGGUUUUCGGAUCGUAAACCUCUGUUGUUAGAGAAGAGGGAUAGAAAGAGAAAGCCACGGCUAACUACGUGCCAGCAGCCGCGGUAAUAA
rnacentral:rRNA from 1 species